GGCUCAGAUUGAACGCUGGCGGAAUGCUUUACACAUGCAAGUCGAACGGCAGCACGGACUUCGGUCUGGUGGCGAGUGGCGAACGGGUGAGUAAUAUAUCGGAACGUGCCCAGUCGUGGGGGAUAACGUAGUGAAAAUUACGCUAAUACCGCAUACGAUCUAAGGAUGAAAGCGGGGGAUCGCAAGACCUCGCGCGAUUGGAGCGGCCGAUAUCAGAUUAGGUAGUUGGUGAGGUAAAGGCUCACCAAGCCAACGAUCUGUAGCUGGUCUGAGAGGACGACCAGCCACACUGGAACUGAGACACGGUCCAGACUUCUACGGGAGGCAGCAGUGGGGAAUUUUGGACAAUGGACGCAAGUCUGAUCCAGCCAUUCCGCGUGCAGGACGAAGGCCUUCGGGUUGUAAACUGCUUUUGUACAGAACGAAAAGGUCUCUAUUAAUACUAGGGGCUCAUGACGGUACUGUAAGAAUAAGCACCGGCUAACUACGUG
rnacentral:rRNA from 1 species